GUGCUGAGUGUGGUAAGACUUUCAGGGUUAGCUCCAACCUGAUCCAGCACCAGCGUACUCACACUGGGGAGAAACCCUAUCGCUGUGGACUCUGUGGCAAGAGUUUCAGCCUGAGCUCUAACCUUUUACAGCACCAGCGCUGUCACACAGGUGAGAAACCCUACUUCUGUGCUUGGUGUGGAGACAGCUUUGGGCGCAGCUCCUAUCUGCUGGAACACCAACGCUCACACACAGGUGAGAAGCCCUACAAUUGCUGUGAGUGUGGCAAGAACUUCACCAACAGCUCAAACUGCCUACGGCACCAGCGCACUCAUAAUGGAGAACCGCCCUUCAGGUGUCUUGAGUGUGGACGUGGCUUUAGUGAGAUCACCAUGUUUACUGAACACCAGC
rnacentral:lncRNA from 1 species